UACGUAGGUGGCGAGCGUUGUCCGGAUUUACUGGGCGUAAAGAGCGCGCAGGCGGCUGGUCAAGUCCGAUGUGAAAGCUCCCGGCUUAACUGGGAAAUUGCAUCGGAAACUGAUCGGCUGGAAGGUGGGAGAGGGUAGCGGAAUUCCCGGUGUAGUGGUGAAAUGCGCAGAUAUCAGGAGGAACACCGAUGGCGAAGGCAGAUCUCUGGGCCGUAACUGACGCUGAGGAGCGAAAGCGUGGGGAGCAAACAGG
rnacentral:rRNA from 1 species